CGAGAGGAGCUCCGUCGCUUACUCCGGUGGCUGCUUCUGCUACCAUCCCGUCUUUCCCUGCGCUUCCGGGAGCUAGCCACAGGAGAUGAAUCGCAGCUAUCUGAGUCGUCUGAAUCAGAUUCAGAGUCAUCGGACCUUCUUCUGCUGCGUCUCCGUGAAGAUGAUUUCUUCUCUCUCUUCCGCUCACUGCUUCGGCCAUGGGUACCCAUACUUGGAAAAGAAACUCAAUUGCUGCACG
rnacentral:misc_RNA from 1 species